CGUGAGCAAUCUGCCUUGGAGUGGGGAAUAACGGUUGGAAACAGCCGCUAAUACCGCAUGAUGCGUCUGGGAGGCAUCUCUCUGGACGCCAAAGAUUUAUCGCUCUGAGAUGAGCUCGCGUCUGAUUAGCUAGUUGGCGGGGUAACGGCCCACCAAGGCGACGAUCAGUAGCCGGACUGAGAGGUUGGCCGGCCACAUUGGGACUGAGACACGGCCCAGACUCCUACGGAAGGCAGCAG
rnacentral:rRNA from 1 species